rnacentral:piRNA from 1 species
UAGAAAGAAAAUGCUUGCAUAUGUGGUC